AACCUGGUUGAUCCUGCCAGUAGUCAUAUGCUUGUCUCAAAGAUUAAGCCAUGCAUGUCUUAGUGUAAAUAACUCUUAUGAAACUGCGAAUGGCUCAUUAAAUCAGUUAUCGUUUAUUUGAUGGUCCAAGGUUUCCGUAGGUGAACCUGUAGAAGGAUC
rnacentral:rRNA from 1 species